rnacentral:rRNA from 1 species
GACGAACGCUGGCGGCGUGCCUAAUACAUGCAAGUUGAGCGCUGAAGGUUGGUACUUGUACCAACUGGAUGAGCAGCGAACGGGUGAGUAACGCGUGUGGAAUCUGCCUUUGAGCGGGGGACAACAUUUGGAAACGAAUGCUAAUACCGCAUAAAAACUUUAAAAACAAGUUUUAAGUUUGAAAGAUGCAAUUGCAUCACUCAAAGAUGAUCCCGCGUUGUAUUAGCUAGUUGGUAAGGUAAAGGCUCACCAAGGCGAUGAUACAUAGCCGACCUGAGAGGGUGAUCGGCCACAUUGGGACUGAGACACGGCCCAAACUCCUACGGGAGGCAGCAGUAGGGAAUCUUCGGCAAUGGACGAAAGUCUGACCGAGCAACGCCGCGUGAGUGAAGAAGGUUUUCGGAUCGUAAAACUCUGUUGGUAGAGAAGAACGUUGGUGAGAGUGGAAAGCUCAUCAAGUGACGGUAACUACCCAGAAAGGGACGGCUAACUACGUG